CCAUCAAGCUAUUAUAUGAAGAUG
rnacentral:siRNA from 1 species